CAGGAACUUGUGUUGCCAAGCUCUGCAGUCGGUAUACAAGAAAAGCAUGUCUACACAUCUAAGGUGGAACUUUUUCCAUUGAGUACAACAGGGAUUGCUAUUUCUCAUUCACCGUCCACUUCACAGCCUAAAGUUCAGAUUGAAGAACCAGUGGGGGUGCCAAGAAUGAUUAAGUCACAAUCAAGCUGCCCACAAUAUUCCAAGAUUCCUGGCAUGCCAUCUUUACAUCAGUCUCAAGUUAUAGCUUGGUUCGAUGAUAGGUUAUCGUUUCAGAAGUUACCCAGCAACAGAUUUCCUUUACUCCUGUAUUCAGAUUAUGUUGGUUCCAUUUCUGAGGGUAGUGCAGGAAUUGCCAAAAUGGUGGACUUAACACCCUCCUGCUCCAGGUCUGCCAGUAUUCCUGGAUUCCCAUCUGCUUUGAAACGUGAGCCCAAUAUGACUUGUCUUUUACCUACAUGUCCCAGAAUUAGCAGGAUUCCAGGAUUAGCUUCUGCCGGAUCAGUGACCGGAUAUGAAAAGAGUGUUUGGGACAGAUGUUCUCUGUGGAAGAAACCAUUGCCGAUAAAAGAAGCAUUUGCUUCAUACAUGCCUUGUGUUCAGAAAGAAGCUGUUAGUGAUACUAAUAUCAUUAAAGGCAUGGUGGCCAUGUUACCAACAUGUUCUAGAAAGGCCAGUGUUCCAGGGCUUCCUUCUGCACCAUUGCAGAAAGCUUCAGAUACUCUAAGUAUACCCCAGAAGCUGUUGCCAGGUAUCGUCAGUCUUCUACCAAUAUGCCCUAAACAGACCCAAACUCCUGGUAUGCCAUCUCAAGAUCAAAACAAUGCAGAGAACAAAGAUUGGCAUGCCCUGGGGCGAUUAAUUACCAAUAGACCAGAAAAGAAAACACAAGCUUACAUUGGCCAGUGGAUACCGAAAGACACAGAAAACCCUAAAGCUAUGGUAGAUAUGUUGAUAAGUUGUCCACAAAAAGCCAAAGUUUUUGGCUUACCCUCUGCUCCACGACAAGAACCCAGUAUGGUUAAUGUAAUGCCUUCAUGCCCCAUACAUAGUCGAGUCCCUGGUUUGCCUUCAAAGACUAGACAAAAACUUUGUUUGUCCAGCUGCAAUAAUUGGUUUGCUUCUAAAAGCUUACAGUGCAAGAGCCCAUUUAUCAAAAAGGAAGUCCAGAUUGUAAAUGCAGUUUUGCGUUUUGAUAAGAACACUGCUGAAAGUAUGAGUGCAAUAUUACCCUCUUGUGCUAAGAAUGCUAGUGUACCAGGGUUUCCCUCUGCCCUGACACCAACAUUAGCAGAUGGCCCAACUAUGGUGAAUGUAUUGCCUAGUUGUACAAAGGAAUCUAGAGUUCCUGGAAUGCCACUUAGAGAUACAAGCAAACAAUCAGUGUGGAUAAUGGAAAGUAAGUCGCUGCUAGUACCUAGGGAGAAGUCUACAGUUACAUUACAUUUACAGAAUCUUAAUGUGUUCUAUUGUGAUUGUGAUAUGAUCAAAAAUAUGGUAUCAAUUUUGCCCUCCUGCCCACGGACAGCCUGUUUACCAGGCUUUCCAUCAGUACCAUGUCAGGUGUUGGCCGAUAUACCAAAUAUGAUCAAUCUUCUGCCUACUUCUCCAAGACAUUCCAGAGUAUGUGGAUUACCCUCUAGAUUCCACAGUGAGGCUCAUGAGUCAGAAUGGAGUCUAAACAAAAGGCCAAUAUGGAAAAGGCCAUUAACAAACCCAGGAAAACCUUUAGUAAUACAUGACCCUAAGAUGUAUUUAAGAGAAAAGGUAGUGGCUACAAUUAUGGUAUCAAUGUUGCCACCUUGUCCAAAACACUCACAUAUUCCUGGAAUUCCCUCUAAGGCACGAGAGAGACCAGUGGAAGCUGUGACGAAAGAGGCUCUGAGCAUGUUAAAAUCCUUAGCCACUUUCCCAGAAAACAGUAAAAUUCCAGGUCUACCUGCAAAGUAUAGUGCAAAAGCUUCUGAUGGCUGGUAUGUUGACAGGGAUGAGGUUUGGAAAAACCCAUUCAAUAUAAGGUAUUGUGUUGUUAACCAAGAUUUUCCAGUUAAGGAAAUGUCAAGUAGGGAGAAAGAAGUAAUGCUGAGUAUGCUUCUAUCAUGUCCACGACAAGCCUUGAACCCUGGAUUUCCUUCUGCUCCACGACCCCAAGCUGUUGAUGUUAGUGUGGGAAAAAAUCCAGACAUGGUACAGUUGCUGCAAUGUUGCCCAAGACAGUCAAGUAUAAUUGGUUUCCCCUCCAGAGUGUCAAUUAUUUCCCAUUCUAAAGUAGGGGGCUGGCCGGUGGUAAAUAUGCAAGACUGCUGCCAAAUUUACCCAAAGUAUAGUUUUUCUCACAAAGAUAUAGCAAUGGCAAGUCUUUCUCUUGAACCUUCUUGUCCAAACAUUUCUCUCAGUUCUGGUUUCACAGCAGUUUCACCGCCUGACAUAGACUGGCUUCCGAAUAUGGUAAAUAUAGUGCCAUCUUGCCCAAAGAAAGCUUCUGUUCUUGGGGUACCAUCAACACAUGUGCACCAUUCAGAACAGGGGUGGCCAGGAACAAAAAUAAUUGGAAAGGAAAGUGAAAACCUUAAAAGUCAACAGCUGUCACUGGAAGAACAUUCUCUUUGUAAUGUUUCUGUCAGAGAGAAAUCCAUGCAGUUCAUAUUCCCAAGCCAAGAUGUACCAGAGGAUCUACAACAAAGAAUGACAAUUGAGUCAUUAACCUGUCCCGUCGAGGCUAUUGUCAAAGAUUUACCAUCGUCAAAUUCUAAAAUCCAAGUGGACCAGCGAUCCUCUGUCGUUAAUGGGAUUGAGAUGUUAUGGGAUGAGGCCAGUCCAACCAGAUUAGAUCUUGACACAAAGAAAAUUAAAUCUGAUGUGUGUUCAGCUUUGGAGAGACAUAAAGAUGAACAGGGCUUUUGGAUACCGAUUGAGGCUGAAGAAAUAGCUGUUCUCGAAAAAGGAAACUUGCAUUGCAGAAUGUGGCACUCCAUUCCUGACAUGCCAUUGUUCUUGAGUGUUAGGAAGAGACAUGAAAACAUGGUUUCACUACAGCCAUCAUGCACAAUUGUUGCUGGUGCAGAAGAACUCGCAUCCCAAACCCAAAUAAGGAAUGCUGAGCAGCAGUUAAAGAAACAUCCAUCAAACAAGACCAUACUAUGGGAGGAGCUUCCGAAGGCCAAUACAAUAAAAUAUCCUACACAAAAUACUAUAAUAUGGGAGGAGCUACCAAAGGUAUCUACUGAGGUAACUAGAAGAUCAGAGGAAGAAAUGGAAAUGGCCAGUCUCCCUUCCAUGAUGUUAGACACUGGUGAUGGAAUAAAGACAAAUACAGAAGCUGGGAUUGCAGAUCUAUUGCCAAUGUGGCCAACAGUUAGCACCCUAUUUGAAUUCACUGCUACUGCUAAACAAAUAGACGAAUGCCUACUGGACAGCAAGUCUACUUGGGAUACUCCAUCAAGGGAUAAUGAAUUAGUGGAUGAAAAGUCUUCCCCCCCUCGCGCACAAUGUGUGCCAUAUUAUGUGAAGCCUGAAAUUGAGUAUAAACAGUACACUUCCUUGGAAGCCUGCCCAGGUGUGACAAACAUUGCUGGCAUGCCGUCCAAAUUGCCCGUAAAAGACAAACACUGGCUUAUAGAUCAAAAGCCAAUCUGGGAGAAACAAUCAAAAAUUAAGGAAAUAUUACUGACGGAUGCAUCAAAGGAUGAUGAAAAGAACAAGAAGGAAAUGGUUUUACUGGUACCCUCUUGCCCCAGAGAGGCCAGAAAUCCAGGGUUCCCUUCUGUACCACAAUACAGUUUAAUUUUAUAUGGACCACCAAGUUGUCCAAGUGUAUCCAAUAUACCUGGUUCACCAUCUACCCAUGAAGCCAAUAACAGAUUAUUGGUAUCUCAACAGGAACCACCUUUGGAGAAGAAAAUAAAAACUGAACUUGUUGUCAUGACAGUGUCACCAAAAGAGAAGGAUGAAAUGAAAAUUGGAGCUUUGGUACCAACUUGCCCAAAACAUUCUUGCAUAGCAGGCACCCCCUCAAUUCCACAACCUACUGUAGCACUUCAUGGAUCAGAUAUGAUCAGCCUUUUAAGCUCUUGCCCCAAAACCUCUUGUAUUGAAGGUAUUCCAUCAUUAAUGGAACAUUUCAGCAACAUAUGGGCUACAGAUUACACACCCUUAGGGGUUAAACAGCCAAAAAGCAACGCAGUCAUGAUUGAAGAGAGACCUCACAAUGAUGACAUGGGGGCCAUGUCAGCUUUAGCCCCAACUUGUCCAAAACAAGCUUGUAUCCCUGGAUUUCCAUCUGCUCUGGAACCUACAGUAAGUAAUAAUGCAUUUAGUAGGGUCAAUCUCCUUCCAUCCUGCCCGGCCGCCUCAAGUAUGGCUGGUUUUCCUUCAAUACAGAAAGCUGACGGCAAAGACUGGAACACUAUUCAUCAACCAUUAUGGGAAAAGGAAAAUAAAAAAGAGUCUGUUUUACUACUGGAGUACGAUAAAAUCGGCAAAGACAUGAAAGGAGUUGUGUCUCUUGCACCAAGUUGCCCAAGAGAAUCACUCAUCUCUGGCUGCCCCUCUUUACCAAAAUCCACAAUGAUUAAUGCUGUUGACAAGACAAAUAUGGUCAGUCUUUCAAGCUCAUGCUCAAAAGUGUCACAAAUACCAGGAUUUCCAUCAUCUCAUAAUUCAAAAGAGUGGACACAGAGCAGGGAAUCACUAUUUGAACCAAGAUUGAAAGACAAGCAGGUGUCAUCAAUUGACAGAUGUCAAGGAGAUAAGAGAGCAAUGAAAGCAAUGUUUUUUCUUGUACCAUCCUGUCCAAAAGUGGCACGGACGCCAGGAUUUCCUUCUCAUCCAAAUCCCCUAACUGUGUAUAGUGCACAGAAUAUUAUCAGCCUUUUUACAUUGUGCUCGCAAGUUUCCAAAAUUCCUGGAUUCCCAUCAGUUGAUGGGAAUAGGAGUGUAGGAUGGGUAACAGAAAAGGGUUCAUUGCUGAAGAGGCUACCGAAGAAGACAGUCAUAUUUGACACAUCAAAUGAAAACAAAAAGAUAAUGAAGAAUAUGGUUUCAUGUGUACCAUCCUGUCCUAAAGUGUCAAGCAUCCCUGGUUUCCCAUCUAUUCCGAAUCCUAAAAUGGUGUAUUAUGGCCAAAAUGUAGUCAACCUCCUUCCUUUGUGCCCCCUUGUUUCUGUCAUACCUGGAUUUCCAUCGGUUGAAGGGCACAGGGAAGAGGGAUGGGGUACUGAACUGGUUUCACUGAUGCACAGACCACAAAAGAACAAUCUGUUUAGGAUUGACAGCUCGCCAAUUAACAUAGACGAACCAAGCAACAUGCUUGCUUUAGUUCCUUCUUGCCCAGGAGCAUCAAAGAUUCCAGGCUUCCCAUCUGUCCCGCAAUACAAUAUGCUAAGGAUUGUACCUAUUUGCACCAAAGUAUCCAGUCUCCCUGGAUUUGCAUCGUUUGAAGGGGCCUCAAAAUUCCAAUGGCUUUUUAAAACACCCACUUUGUGUGAUAAGCCACUAAAGGAAACUGUUUUUGUGAUACACCUUCCAUAUCAAGACAAAGAAACUGCGAAGACAAUGUUUGCUUUAGCGCCAUCUUGCCCAGAAGCACCCAGGGUCCCAGGGUUCCCCUCUGCAUCUCAAACCAAGUCAGAGAUUGAAUCCAAUAUCAUACGUUUUGUACCUUGCUGCUCUAGUGCUUCAAAUCUCAAAGGGUUUGCAUCCAUGACUACAAUUCCAAGCACAGGGUGGAUAAAUGAAACAAAACCAAUUUUAAUAAAGCCUCAGGAGAAGAGGGCACACAUGAUUUUGUCACUUGCUGGACAGGACCAGCUAUAUUGCUACAACACGAAAGGCAUGGUGAAAUUAGUGACAUCCUGCCCAAAAGAGGCCAGAGUAUGUGGUUUUCCUUCUGCUCAAGUUGUAAACAGACCGCCAAACAUGGUCAGCUUAUACACAUCUGCUCCAUGUGUUUCAUGUAUCCCAGGUUUUCCAUCAGCAAGGAUGCUUAGCUCUGAAUGUACAAAUAUACAAACUAGGACAACACACAAGUCCCUGUUAGAGAAGCUGCAGGAUGAGAAGAUUUCUGUCAUAGCAAAGUUCCCAGCCAAAGAUAAACAUGAUCAAGAUGAAAUGAAGUACAUGGUAGCAUUGGCUCCAUCAUGUCCACAUUUGACUCGAAUCCCUGGGCUCCCCAGCAUUUUACAAUUGAAUCCAACAGAGAAUAAAACAAUGACUAUUCCAGACCCUUGUUCUACUGAGAAGCAUAUAUCACAAGAAUUGCCUCAUGCACAGUCAACUCAGUCAUAUCUCAAAGACCCAAGAAUGCCUGGUGUUCCAUCCACAUCUAUUCACCUCACCAGCACAGCACUUGCAUAUGAGGAGAAAUUCAAAGGCAGUGCAAAGCAAAACAUAGACUGUUGUGUAGAUAACGGCAAAUCCCAUAUAGAGAGGAUAGUAGGGGAGGAAGCCCUAACAGGGAAGAGACCAUUGGACACAUCAGAGCCAGCGGGAGUCUUGGGUUGGGAAGUUUUGGAGGCAGAGGGAACAAUUACAGAAAAAAAGGCAAAAUCCUCUUUGCCAGCAAAAGAGGAAGAUGCAUCAGGAUUAGUACAUGCUAUUGUGGGUGUUUUCCAUAAAGGGUUACAUUCACUCACUACAGUAUCCAUGUCUCACAGUUAUGAAACAGUAGCAUCCAUGUUGGGGCCAUCUAGCUCUACUUUAGCUGAGGUGGAGCACCAACCCAAGGCUGCCUUUUCUAUGGAUCUGAAAGACACGACACUGACCCCUUCAGAUAAGUUUUCAACACAUUUUGCGGAUAACACUACUACCAUACAGAAGAUAGAGGGCCAGUUUGAUGAAAUUCAAACCAAAGAUAACAUUGAAUUUCCAAGUGCUGAGCCUUACAUGUGGGACUUGUUAGGUGAUCCAUCAGCGUCUCCAUCACCAACUACCAAAAGUGAUGAUAGGUUUUUGGUUUGUGCAAGUAUGAAGAAAUGGCCACCGCUGACAGAGGCAGAUAUCACUGAAAUAUCAAAGGAAGAUAGUGAACAAGUAACGGAACAAAAGGCUUCUCUUGAUCAAUGGCUCACAAAGGAGAGGCCACUCACAGGGCAGGAUUCUGUUCAAACAUCAGUAUACAUUGAAAGUUUGUUAGCAAGGCACCAGACUGAGAUGGAACAGGAUGAGGGUAGAACCGUGUCAACUUCUUUACAGCUGGAUAAAGGCCACCAACAAACACACAUAGAAGACAUUUCUGCCACUUCCCUGGAGCCUACAACAAAUGAGUCACUGACAGAUGCCAGUGUACAUGGAGAGAUACUCAUGGAUAAACCCUCAGACCUACAAGCUAUACAAGAUAGUACUGUCCCUCAGCAAGGCAGAAAGCCCAGGAGAAAAGUUCCAGAACCUCAACAGAAAGGGUGUGAUAAUGAAAAAGACACUGUUCCAUUACGACCACUCAGAAGGAAGGAUAGUUUAACACCAGACCACAAACAAAAAUCUGAUGGUUUGUCAGUCAAACCCCUCCCUGAAGUUGUUUCAGUCCAGUCUGUAAAAAAAGAUGCUACUGGUGAGAUACAACCUGCCACUGCCCCAUCUUGCAACAUAAAGAAAGAAGACAGUAGCGUUCCUCUUGGUGUACCUCAGAAUGAUCAUGCCCAAGAAAGUGUUAGUGCUCGAGUAACCCCAUACACAGGUGACCAUAGACAAAAAAGUGAAGUUGAAUCUGUGCAAAUAUCCAUGGAUGUUGUUGCGCCUCCUCGUGUGAAAAAAAGAGAUGGCAGUUUGCCACCUGAAACUCCACAGAAAACUGCCCCUUGCAAGCCUCAGAGGAGAAAAGACAGCGGCACCAGACAGACAUCUGUUACAAAAGCUAAUGGCCAACAAGAUUUGAAAGUCAGUUCUGCUUUGAAAACUACGGAUCCUGUUCCUCCUGAACCUUGCGAGAGAAACUCUGAUGUCUCAGGUGCUCUGGAACCUUUACAGAGCCUUGAUAAACCCAGUCAAACAACUACUGAAAUGAUCCCUUCACAGCCUGUUGGAAGAAAAGACCCAACAACCAAACAGCACUCUCAGGAAACUGAUUUUGUGCGGAGUGCCUCUCAACAGGCAGACACAGAAUUGGUCUGCUCAAAAGACACUGAGCAAACUUCUUGUACACUGAAAUGCCCCAAGAAAGACACUGAUACAUCUGUCCAGGCCUCUUCUCAUGUAAUUCCACCCUCGAAAAAAAAGGGAAUUGAGAGCAUCACCCUAAAGCCAAAAUCAAAAAUAUUUAAUGUUGAGCAAACUGCUUCCCUCUCAAUCAUUAAGAAGAUACAUCUUCCACAACGUGGCAAUAAAUUGACCUCAAGCAAAUUUGGCAAAAUUGACAGUGACAAGGAGUGUGUAAAAGCAGUCCAGAUUGUCAACACUGGUAUGGAAGAAAUAAAGCAGUCUAGUAUAGUUGGUGACACAUCUGUUGAUACAAUCGACAUCACAUCUUCUAAGAAAUCAGAGCACGCAUCAGAGAUGCCAAAGAAGGACAAACAAACAAUUUUUCGUAUCCCAAGGCCCCGUGUGAAGAAACGUCUUAGUGGCUCCUUCCCAGAAGAUGUUACAGCUAUGGAGUCCACAUCUAAGGUUUCCCAUGGAGAAGAGGCACAGGCAGCGAGGCAGGGUGGUCUUUCAUCCAUUUCCCCAACAACUAAAGAAUUGACAAAGAUGCAACACAACAAAGGCUCCCCUCCUGUUCCUCUGGGUGAUCAACAUUCUGCUUCUACAGAAGAGGUGGUGUCUGUAAAGUUGAGGAGAAACAGAUUGGCCAUUGACAGCAGUGUUCAAGUAGAGGAUGGGCAUAUUUCAGAGAAGACACCAGGAGCUUCAAGCUUGCCUGUACCAAAACCAAGAGUAAAGAAGCGUCUUAGUGGUUCGUUCCCAGAUGACAUCACUACGUCUCCCUGCCUGCCAGACACAGUUACUGACACCAUUGGUCAUGAAUCAGUCCAACAGAAUGAACAGUCAAGCUUGCCUUGUCCAUUGCCACGGGCCAAGAAACGUCUCAGUGCCACUUAUUCAGAAAGCACACAACCUGUAGACAAUUUAUUCCCCCAAGAGAUGGAAUUCUUUCAGAGAAACCCAGAAGAUACAUCUGCCAUGAGCAAGGAAACUGAGGAAGGCUCAACAUCUCUGGAUUCAAGUGUGAUCUUUGAAGGAGGUUUUGUCACUAUCCAAGGAGAAGAUGUCGUUGCGUCAGAGUUGGAACGGGAAGUGCUAGAAGCAAUGGAAGAAGAGGAAUUUCCUCAGGCAGACUCUGUAGAAGAUAAUGAGAAGGCUCUGGAAGAAAUCAUGAAAGGCUGGACCUUUACAGAAAAACCUAUUGUCACAGAUGACUCAGAGAAAUCUGCAGAGGCAGUGUCUGAGCAAGCUGACAUUGAAAAAGUCGUGGAAGCAGAGGUUGAUCGGUCCACUGUUGCAUCGUGUCAGGAUGACUGGUUGCAUGUAGAGGAUGAUAAAGACAGUGAACCAAUGGAAAUAAACUCAAUGAAGGAAAUGAGGGAUGAAGAGUUGGACUUUGGCUUUGUGUCUGUAGAUGUAGAUGCUGGUUGUUUAGAGGAAGAAAGGCAAAGGGAGAAGUCACAAGUUGCUGGCCUCCACCAAGCCAAUGAACCAAUAACUCCUCAUAAAAUACCUGCAGAUGGGACUGCCUCUCUGGAAAGCUUUUCGCCCAGUCCCAGCUUAGUGACAUCCAGUCAGUCUCUACUGGACUGGUGUCAGGAAGUCACACAGCAUCACAAGGGAGUGAAGAUCACCAACUUCAGCACUUCCUGGAGGAACGGCCUUGCUUUUUGUGCCAUCUUACAUCACUUUCAACCAGAAAAGAUUAAUUAUGAAAUGCUGGACCCGUAUGACAUCAAGCACAACAACAAAAAGGCCUUUGAUGGCUUUGCCGAACUUGGCAUUUCCAGGCUGAUGGAGCCUUCAGACAUGGUCAUGCUAGCAGUCCCUGACCGCCUUAUUGUCAUGACCUACCUCAACCAGAUCCGCACCCAUUUCACGGGCCAGGAGCUCAGGCUGCUUCACAUAGAGAAGGAUAGCAGUGAGUCCAGCUAUGCAGUAGCAGGGGACCGGGAAAGCCAAGAGGACCCCCAGGCAACUGUUCGCUACUGCGCCCAGAGGCUCCAGGAGGAGGGUAUAAGUCUAGAGAGUAAUGGGACUACAAGCACAGCCGAGUCGGACAGUAAAACCAGGGAUGUCGUUCCACCUCCUAGAACCAAACGGCUGCAGGUUGCUGGGUCAAGUGUGGCUCAGUUACCAGUGGCACCACCAAGGACUCAUUUCCUGUCCAAGACUGGUUUCUCUCAUGUCAAAGACGCUGAUCUGGUCAAGAAGCGUAGGUCACAGCGGCGGAGGAGUGGGUCAGUAGAAGAAGGAGACAUAUCAGUGGUCGUUGCAGGGCAGGAUGACAGUGUAAUUACCCGGAGAAAGUCAGACACUGAGAGAACAGAGGCUGUGGCUGAGGAGGGGAGACCAGAAGGCCAAGACCCCAACCAGUAUGUGCUGAGUCAGAUGGAAGCCCUGGAGGCGGAACAAAAUCAUAUUGAUAACAGAGCAGGUGUGGUGGAGAGGAAACUUAGACAACUACUGGAAACAGGAAAGAAAGAGCAGGACUAUACCUUACAGAGGAGUCAAAGUAAUGUGAUUUUCUGCUGCAGGCAGUGACAAGGUGGAGGAGGAGCGGUUGAUUCAGGAAUGGUUUACGCUGGUCAACAAGAAGAAUGCUUUAAUCAGGAGGCAGGACCAUCUGCAGCUGCUGCUGGAGGAACAAGACUUGGAAAGA